rnacentral:rRNA from 1 species
GUGUCAGCCGCCGCGGUAAUACGUAGGGUGCGAGCGUUAAUCGGAAUUACUGGGCGUAAAGCGUGCGCAGGCGGUUUUGAAAGUCAGAUGUGAAAUCCCCGGGCUCAACCUGGGAACUGCAUUUGUGACUGUAUAGCUAGAGUACGGCAGAGGGGGAUGGAAUUCCGCGUGUAGCAGUGAAAUGCGUAGAUAUGCGGAGGAACACCGAUGGCGAAGGCAAUCCCCUGGGCCUGUACUGACACUCAUGCACGAAAGCGUGGGGAGCAAACAGGAUUAGAAACCCUCGUAGUCC